rnacentral:rRNA from 1 species
UCAGCGGCAGACGGGUGAGUAACACGUAGGUGACCUACCCUCGAGACGGGGAUAACGGCUGGAAACAGUCGCUAAUACCCGAUAGACUUACCAGGUCAAAGCGGUAAGAAAAGCUACGGUGCUUGAGGAGGGGCCUGCGGCCCAUCAGCUAGUUGGUAGGGUAACGGCCUACCAAGGCGAAGACGGGUAGGGGGUGUGAGAGCACGAGCCCCCACGAUGGGACUGCGACACGGCCCAUACUCCUACGGGAGGCAGCAGCAGGGAAUAUUGCACAAUGGACGGAAGUCUGAUGCAGCGACGCCGCGUGAGUGAAGACGGCCUUCGGGUUGUAAAGCUCUUUUACGGGGGACGAGGAAGGACGGUACCCUGGGAAGAAGUGUCGGCUAACUACGUGCCAGCAGCCGCGGUAAGACGUAGGACACAAGCGUUAUCCGGAGUUACUGGGCGUAAAGCGCCUGCAGGCGGCCUGGUAAGUUGGACGUGAAAGCCCCGUGCUUAACGCGGGGAGGUCGGACAAUACUGCCAAGCUAGAGUGCGUCAGAGGGGAGUGGAAUUUCCGGAGUAGCGGUAAAAUGCGCAGAUAUCGGAAGGAACACCAGUGGCGAAAGCGACUCCCUGGGGCGCGACUGACGCUAAGAGGCGAAAGCUAGGGGAGCGAACAGGAUUAGAGACCCUGGUAGUCCUAGCCCUAAACGAUGGAUGCUAGGUGUGGGACGUAAAGUUCCGUGCCGGAGCCAACGCGAUAAGCAUCCCGCCUGGGGACUACGGUCGCAAGGCUUAAAACUCAAACGAAUUGACGGGGACCCGCACAAGCAGCGGAGCGUGUGGUUCAAUUCGAUGCUACACGAAGAACCUUACCUGGGUUUGACAUGUACGUGGUAGAGAAGCGAAAGCGGAUUGACCCUUCGGGGAGCGUACACAGGUGCUGCAUGGCUGUCGUCAGCUCGUGCCGUGAGGUGUCGGGUUAAGUCCCGUAACGAGCGCAACCCUUAUCCUUAGUUGCACGUAUCUAGGGAGACUGCCGGCGGGAAGCCGGAGGAAGGUGGGGAUGACGUCAAGUCAGCAUGGCCCUUAUGUCCAGGGCUACACACACGCUACAAUGGCCGGUACAAAGGGCAGCAAAGUCGCGAGGCGGAGCGAAUCCCAACAAAGCCGGUCGUAGUUCGGAUUGCAGGCUGCAACUCGCCUGCAUGAAGCUGGAGUUGCUAGUAACCGCGCGUCAGCUAUAGUGCGGUGAAUACGUACCCGGGUCUUGUACACACCGCCCGUCACGUCAUGGAAGUCGGUAACGCCUGAAGGCGGUAGCCUAGCUCGGAAGAGGGGGCGCUGUCGAAGG